AUUGAACGCUGGCGGCAGGCCUAACACAUGCAAGUCGAACGAGUGGCGGACGGGUGAGUAAUGUCUGGGAAACUGCCCGAUGGAGGGGGAUAACUACUGGAAACGGUAGCUAAUACCGCAUACCAUCGGAUGUGCCCAGAUGGGAUUAGCUAGUAGGUGGGGUAAAGGCUCACCUAGGCGACGAUCCCUAGCUGGUCUGAGAGGAUGACCAGCCACACUGGAACUGGGGCACAGGCCAGACUCAUACGGGAGGCAGCUGUGGGGAAUUUUGGACAAUGGGCGCAAGCCUGAUGCAGCCAUGCCGCGUGUAUGAAGCAGGUAUUAGGGUUGUAAAGUACUUUCGGCGGGGAGGCGUUACCCGCAGAAGAAGCACCGGCUAACUCCGUGCCAGCAGCCGCGGUAAUAC
rnacentral:rRNA from 1 species